rnacentral:rRNA from 1 species
UACGUAGGGUGCAAGCGUUAAUCGGAAUUACUGGGCGUAAAGCGUGCGCAGGCGGUUGUGCAAGACAGAUGUGAAAGCCCCGGGCUCAACCUGGGAAUUGCAUUCGAGACUGCUCUGCUAGGGUGCGGAAGAGGGAAGCGGAAUUUCCGGUGUAGCGGUGAAAUGCGUAGAUAUCGGAAGGAACACCAGUGGCGAAAGCGGCUUCCUGGUCCAGCACCGACGUCAGGCACGAAAGCGUGGGGAGCAAACAGG